UACGAAGGGGGCAAGCGUUGUUCGGAAUCACUGGGCGUAAAGCGCACGCAGGCGGAUCGAUAAGUCGGGGGUGAAAGCCCGGGGCUCACCGUCGGAAUUGCCUUCGAUACUGUCGGUCUCGAGUCCGGGAGAGGUGAGUGGAAUUCCUAGUGUAGAGGUGAAAUUCGUAGAUAUUAGGAAGAACACCAGUGGCGAAGACGGCUCACUGGCCCGGUACUGACGCUCAGGUGCGAAAGCGUGGGGAGCAAACAGG
rnacentral:rRNA from 1 species